rnacentral:rRNA from 1 species
UGAGGAACAUGACUUUCGGCGGGGGAUAGCCGCCCAACGGCCGGGUAAUACCGCGUACGACCUCUCGGGGACGUCCCGGUUGGUGAAAGCAGCAAUGCACCGAAAGAGUGCCUCGCGGCCUAUCAGCUAGUUGGUGGGUAAUGGCUCACCAAGGCGACGACGGGUAGCUGGUCUGAGAGGAUGGCCAGCCACAUUUGGGACUGAGACACGGCCCAGACUCCUACGGGAGCAG